CCUACGGGUGGCAGCAGUAGGGACUCUUCCACAAUGGGCGAAAGCCUGAUGGAGCAACGCCGCGUGGGUGAAGAAGGUCUUCGGAUCGUAAAACUCUGUUGUUCGAGAAGAAAGUGCGUGAGCGUAACUGUUCACGUUUCGACGGUAUAUAACCAGAAAGCCACGGCUAACUACGUGCCAGCAGCCGUGGUAAUGCGUAGGUGGCAAGCGUUAUCCGGAUGUAUUGGGCGUAAAGGGAACGCAGGCGGUCUUUUAAGUCUGAUGUGAAAGCCUUCGGCUUAACCGGAGUAGUGCAUUGGAAACGGGUAGACUUGAGUGCAGAAGAGGAGAGUGGAACUCCAUGUGGAGCGGUGAAAUGCGUAGAUAUAUGGAAGAACACCAGUGGCGAAAGCGGCUCUCUGGUCUGUAACUGACGCUGAGGUUCGAAAGCGUGGGUAGCAAACAGGAUUAGAUACCCCAGUAGUC
rnacentral:rRNA from 1 species